AUGUCAUACCAGGAGGUACCACUUGUGCCUCAGGCCUGCAAGGAGGGUGCUUGUUACUUGUGGACAAGAGGUAGCAUGGGGCAACUACGGGAGACAAGUGCACCCAGCUGUUGCUUUUUCCUCUUCCUUCUUCUCUUCCUGGUGGCUCUAUGUCAUGGACAACAACAGUAUGUCCCGUGGGGAGCACUGAGUCCAGAUGAACGUGUUGGCAACAUGUACGGAGCAUAUCCCAUGGAAGCUGAUACGGAACGUGAUCUGCCUGUGCACCAGGUAUCUGGGCUGAACCGUUUUCAUCAGCCUCAAGGCUACCCCCGGGAGGUGGCCUCGGGUGCUGGCUCUGCAGCUUCUCAGUGGGUUCCUGACUUGGAGCCUUGGAGGAAUCACAUGGGUAAGUGGUGUGUCUGGGUUUCCUCAGAGAGAUGCCAGGUGCAUCUAGAAGGCCAGCCUGACCCAUCUGCAGCUGCUGA
rnacentral:lncRNA from 1 species